UCAUACACAUAGUUGGAUUUUUAGAACACAGCAAUAAUCUUUUUAUGCAAUCAAAAUUACUUAAAGUUCAUGACCUUGUAAAAUAUUAUACAUUACAGAUUCUAUUCAAGGUAUUUAAUAAGUCACUGCCAAGUAACAUCCAAAA